rnacentral:rRNA from 1 species
ACUCCUACGGGAGGCAGCAGUGGGGAAUAUUGCACAAUGGGCGCAAGCCUGAUGCAGCCAUGCCGCGUGUAUGAAGAAGGCCUUCGGGUUGUAAAGUACUUUCAGCAGUGAGGAAGGUGGAUAUGUUAAUAGCAUAUUCAUUUGACGUUAGCUGCAGAAGAAGCACCGGCUAACUCCGUGCCAGCAGCCGCGGUAAUACGGAGGGUGCGAGCGUUAAUCGGAAUUACUGGGCGUAAAGCGCAUGCAGGUGGUUUGUUAAGUCAGAUGUGAAAGCCCGGGGCUCAACCUCGGAAUUGCAUUUGAAACUGGCAAACUAGAGUACUGUAGAGGGGGGUAGAAUUUCAGGUGUAGCGGUGAAAUGCGUAGAGAUCUGAAGGAUACCGGUGGCGAAGGCGGCCCCCUGGGACAGAUACUGACACUCAGAUGCGAAAGCGUGGGGAGCAAACAGGAUUAGAUACCCUGGUAGGCUGUA